AGUGUUUUUCCUUGUGUAGUGAAAAAUGCUGAGCUAUUGAUUCACUUCAUCACAACGCCAUCCCAAUUUUUUAGGAAGGAUCAAUUUAUAUUGCGAACUUAUAGAGCCUGCAUGGUUUCAAGCCAGAUGAGAUGGAGAGAUACAACAUACAUUGAGAAACAUGUGUCCGUUACAUAAAGGUCUGUGUGUGUAUCCCGAAGAGGGAUUCAGUUGACUUUUGAAGGAGCAAAUUUUUCGGCUCCUCCAUCUGAUGGCACAGACUGGAAAAGAGAAAAGCUGCCACACCAUUGUCCUCCUGGUAAUCAAGCCAAGAUCCGUCCAUAUGCUGAGGGUUGCAACUCCAACACUACUAACAAGA